UACGUAGGGUGCAAGCGUUGAUCGGAAUUACUGGGCGUAAAGCGUGCGUAGGCGGCUAUGCAAGUCAGAUGUGAAAUCCCCGGGCUCAACCUGGGAACUGCAUUUGUGACUGCAUGGCUAGAGUACGGUAGAGGGGGAUGGAAUUCCGCGUGUAGCAGUGAAAUGCGUAGAUAUGCGGAGGAACACCGAUGGCGAAGGCAAGCCCAUGGACCGGUACUGACGCUCAUGCACGAAAGCGUGGGGAGCAAACAGG
rnacentral:rRNA from 1 species